GACGAACGCUGGCGGCGUGCUUAACACAUGCAAGUCGAACGGAAAGGCCCUGCUUUUGUUGGUUGCUCGAGUGCCGAACGGGUGUGUAACACGUGAGUAUCCUGCCCUUGACUUUCGGAGAUCUCCAGGAAACUGCGGCUCAUACAGGAUAGGAUCUCCUGCUCCAUGUGGGGGAAUGGUGAGUUACGGCGGUUGGGGAUGGACUCGCGGCUUAUGAGCUUGUUGGUGGGGUAGGGGAGUACAAAGGCUGUGACGGGUAGCCGGCCUGGGAGGGUGACCGGCCACAAUGGGACUGAGGUACGGCCCAGACUCGUACGGGAGGCAGCAGUGGGGAAUAUUGCACAAUGGGCGGAAGCCUGAGGCAGCAACGCCGCGUGCGGGAUGACGGCCUUCGGGUGGUAAACCGCUUUCGCCUGUGACGAAGCGUGAGUGACGGUAAUGGGUAAAGAAGCACCGGCUAACUACGUG
rnacentral:rRNA from 1 species